UUGGAAAUGAUUUUUUAUUUUUUUAUUUACAUAAAUCAAUCACCGAUAGUUCCCUUUUGUGUCUACCAUUGGUCUCAAAUUCUGAGAAAGUCACUUUUUUUCUGAUACCCAAAAAGAAUUGGGUUCAAAGUUGUGAUCUUUGGCCAAAUGGGUACCGACAGGCGUCGCCGGCGGUGCCGGCGGUGCGCCGUCGUAUUGAUCGGAAUAGUUGCCGUUGCGAUGACCGUAAGCGCUUCCGACAGUCACAAGAAGCAGAAACAACCGGUGUCUCGAAUUGCCUUCGGAUCAUGCAACAACCAGAGUGCUCCUCAGGUCAUUGAUAUAUGUGUAUGCCGUGCCUUGUGUUUCUUUGCCAGCCCAUCUGGGAUGCAAUACUAGACUUUCAUCCUCAAGUCUUCAUAUGGCUGGGUGAUAACAUUUAGGCUUUGUUUGGUUGGGAAAGAAAGUAAGAGGAAAGAAAAUUGGAAGGAAAGAAAGAGAGAGGAAGGAGAGAGAACGGAAAGGGAGAUGAUUUAUUGGGUUGUUUGGUAUGAGUGAAUGUGGAAGGAAAAGUGAGAGGAAAGAAAAGAAGUGUAAUGAAUAAUUACUAUUUUAUCCUUUACACAUACAUCUUUAUAAAUAAUUUAAAUAUCAUACUUUAAAUGAA